AAUUGGAGAUGAAGAUAUAAAGGAUUGACACAAGUUCAACAAAGCAAGAAAUGACUCGCAAUGUCUUCCAACUCCUCUGUGUCAUCUUCUUGUCGAUCCUCCUCCUCUUAAAUCAUCAGAAGACAUCGGCACUACCCAAACGUAGGAUGGACAUUAAAGAUGGGAUUCCGGGAAACAUACAUCCGCCUCCCCCACCUCCCGGAGGUGACGUACCACCCGGAAGUCACGAACCCGGAACUGACGGGAAGAAGAAGCGCUGAAAGCGAAGGAAAAAACAUCAGUUAUAAUAUCAUGCAGGCAGGAUGCCCAUAGGAAGCAUCCACAAAUAAAUCAGACAUAUAUUGCUUGGGCAUAUGUCUUGUUUUUUCUGUUGUCUGUUUUGCUCAGGAAAUUCCAUGAAUCAUAUAAGCUGUUAACUAAUUAAGAUACACAAUCUCUAGUUAUCAUUUCUUCAAAUUUAUAUUAAUAUUGGUCUCAUUUUAAGAGUA